ensembl:lncRNA
GUUGCUUUAGGUGCUCUGGGAGUCUGGUUUUGAGACUUGUUUAUGUGUCUUCUCAUUUUGACAGGGGUGGGGGUGUUGAUGGUGCCUGUACGGUUCACCUCCUGUGUGCUGAGGGGGGUGGUAUGGCAGCCCAGAAGCCUUCUCCUUGGCACUGGGAGCAGUUCACCUCCUGUGUGUUGGGGGAAGGAGUGGUACGGCGGCCCGGAAGCCUCUUCCUGGGCGCUGGGAGUGGCUCACCUCCUGUGCACUCAAAGUUGAGGAUUCUUUGCAAGAGAGUCUUGCCAUGCCCAGAAUCCAAGCACUAUAACUUGGUAGUGGGCAGAGCUACCUCAUCAGAUGUUUUUCUUGUCAGAGAGCAUACUCUUUCACCCCUAAGGCAACUAAAAGCCCAGAUACUACACAAAGCCUUGAGAAAUGUGUGCUUUUUUGGUCUUUGUAGCAUUUGGGAUUCUGACCACAUAUUUAUUGGAGAAGAGCUUUCUCUUUCAACUGAAGAUCUCUUCAAUCUCUUAAACUUUGCCAAGAAUAAUAGUGUUUCUGAAGGAGGACAGUCCAACAAUAUUAUUACUUCACUCUGGUCAAGGAAUCUUCCCAUUCAAAAACAAACAUGUUCUGGAAGUCAGGGCCCAAGGAAAUACAAAAAAAAGUUGCAUCUUUGGGUCCACUACCAUCAUCUUAGGACAAGGUGAUAAGUAAGGUACAAGUGUUGGGCAUCAAUGGAUGGAUGGCUGUCCCUGUCUGUUUAAUUUUCCUUAAAUUCUGCAUAAAGACUCCCUCCCAUGUGUCUGGCUUUUGCAGUGUUGAAUUUAGGCUCUUACAUGGGCCUAGCAAGAACCAAUGAGUAUAUAUUCCAUAAGGCAGUAAAUCAAGGCUGAGUACUUCACAUAUCUGUGAAAUAGGUGAUGGCUCAACCUUUGGAUUUUUCAUCCAAAAUGGAUUUCACCAUGGACAGACCUGGUGUCCUUGCUUGUCCCUCCCCUCUAUCGCAACGUACAUCCAGUUUCAUCUCUUUGGAGAUUUCUCUGGGAUGUCGUGCAAGCUUCUGAUUUGGGCAGUUGUUGGUGAUGAUUCAUGCCAGGCAUCCACACAGUGGAGCAUCUUCUCAUGAUUUUCUGGGUAUAUUUCCUUUUUUUUAGUGCAACAUGGGCAAGUUAGUGAGACCCUGUAUACAAAUUAAACACUUAAAAAAGACAGGAAAAGUAGAUCAGUGUGAAGAACGUGGCUUCAAUCUCCAGUAGAGGUGGUAGGGGGGAGGGGAGAUACAAACAAAACUAACAAGAGUGAAGCAAAGUGUAAUGCACAUACAAAACAUGUGCGGCAAGCCCAAGUGGCCAGCUUGAUGUGUACUCACAAUGUGCACACACUCUGCCACCCAGGUGUUACAAGGGGCCUUCACAAUACCCCAGGAGCUUCUGUUGGGUCUCUUAGUCUUUGUUUUCAACCUUUUUAUUUUUCAUUUAAUUAUUGUGAUUACCAGUGAUAGGAUAUUAUUAUUCUGGUAAUGCUGGAGAUUGAACCCAGGGCCUUGCUCACACUCAUGUUCCACCACUGACCUAAAAACUAGCCUGGGAGGAUUUUAAAAACUUCUUUGAUGGAUUCUGCACUCUGGCUUCCAAGAUCCUGGGCAUCCCUUCACAGCCAAAUUCUGUGGGCUUUUUUCAGCCUUGUGGCAUGUGGUCUCACACACUUAGCGUUCUAGAAACUUCCCUGUCUGGCCUCUGUAACUGCCUGUCUGUGUUCCUCCAGGUCCUCUCCACUUUCUGUUUCCUUCUUCUGGACAUGUGUGUGGACAGGGUGUUCCCCUUGGUCCGGGCUUUAGCCUCCUCUUCAAGCUGUGACUGGUCCUGGUGUGUGCUGACCCUAUGCCCCUCUCCCAGCUCCAUACCUCUCUCCAGAGCUACACACUUGUGCCAACUUCCACUGGACUUCCCACUGGGAUCCCUCGGGGCAUGUCAUCCCCAACAGCCCCAGCUCUGUCUCAUCAUCCCUCCUGCCCAAGGAUGUUUCAGUCACAUUCUCUGUCAGCUUAAAGAUCAACAUCACCUGCAUGGACGCUUCACCCAAAACCCUGGCAACAUCGGAGAUGUCUCCUCUCAGAUGGUAGCAUUCCAUCUCCUUAGCAUCCCUGGAACCUGUCCUCUUUCAUACCUCACUUUUCCCUGCCUAAAUCUUCAUCAUCUUUUUCUUGAAUAGCUUAUUUCUCAUUCAUAUGACUGUUUAGCAGCAUAAUUAAUUGUAAGCAGAUUGAAGCCAUGUCCUCAAGUAUAAAGAGUGAGAUGAAAGAAUAUGAUUGGGGAAGAGGGUUCCCUGUAGGGAAGACUUCUCUGAAGAGGCCUCUCUGAGGCCUGAAGCAGGAGUGAGCUAAACCUCAAAACCUUUAGACAGCAGAUUCAUGGUUCACUGUGUGGUCUUCAGGUCUUCAAGCUGCCACUCCCUGUAAAUAUUGAGUACUUUAAUCUCAUCAAAUGCUUAAGACUCAAAAACAAAAGCCAUAUGAUAUUUCCUUCCUGUCAAUGUACCUGAUUCCAUCUGUUAAGAAAAGAUUAUUUAAUAAUAUUAGUUAAAGUACAGUAAGACUUUACCCAGGACCUUUGAGACAGGCAUAGGGACCACUGAUGCAGGGUCUUACUGUGGGGACAGCCGAGGCUCAUCUCUGAGUGCAGCUUGGGCAUAGGGGAUUCACAGCCAAGAGCAGGUGGGGUCAGCGGAUGGAAAGUCACUUUGGAGAUUCUGUAACCUGUGACAAGCCUCUUCCUGUGGGCAGGCCAGAGUGACCAGGCUUCACUGGGGGACCUGAUGGAACGUGAGGGGAGAUCCGAUCCAAGGGUGGAGAGGGCCUCGCUUUGUAGUCUAGGAUGACCUUGACCUUCUGGUGAUUCUCCUGCCUCAGCCUCCCAAGUGUUGGGGUCACAGAUAGCAGUUAGACAGGGCUGGCCCUUGAGGGAGUCAAUACAGAAGAAAUGAGGCACAUUUACUGAAGGCCAGGAUUCAAAAAAGAGGAGCUACUGUACUUUAAUACUUUUCCUAGUCAUGAACAGCAGUGAUUGAUAUUCUAAGUAGGCAUCAAUCACCUUGGGUGGGGACCAAAACCUCCCUUAGCACAUUCCUUCCCAAAAUCCUUGUUUGGCCCGUGUAUGCUUGCUACAUGACUUGCUUCCCCAUUUGAUCCCCCUUUAGUCAAUAUGAUCUAGUGACUAUACUUAUAAUCAUAUUGAUUGACCCUCAUUUUGCCCCACCUCAUUCCACCUUGUGUUUUCCCAUUGGAUCAAUAUUACCUAAGCGACUAUACUUUUCAUCUUAUUAGUUGACUACAGUUUUGUCCCACCUUGAACCUGCCUCCCCUUAUGGCUUUGCUCAAAACACUCUUGAGAAGCAGGGUCAGUGGGCAACCCACUUUUGGGGUGUCCUCUCCUGACCCUCUCAGGCAGGAGCUGUCUUUCUCCCAAUGAAUAGUCCCUACUCUUAACCUCUGUUGUUUCUAGAAUUCAUUCUUUGAUUUUGGAGAACACAAACUUGGCAUUUCAGCAGAUGUCUAGCAGGUUGGGAGUUAUAAUAUUUCCGUUAUUUGGAGGUCCACGUAGCAUACAGCCUAUAUCACUUUGUCAGAUAGUUUUAAUACCACUUACCACCUUGCAGUCAGGGUUUGCAAAGAAAUAGAUUUUAUACAGGACACAUAAUUUAUAGGAUUAUUUUAUAAUAUUCCCCCAAAAAG